UUGCGGCCACAUCACUGUUGAAACACCGGUUCCCGUGUGAUCACCGAAGUUAAGCAACAGCGAGCCUGGUCAGUACCU